UUUCCAUCUUUUCAGGACUCUGGCCUACAAGAACCGCUAUGUUCGAGUUCCAGAUGGUCACUUCUGGAUCGAGGGAGAUCAUCACGGCCACAGUCUGGACAGCAACAGCUUUGGACCGGUGUCUGUGGGGCUGCUUCACGGUCGGGCCUCUCACAUCAUCUGGCCACCAAACCGCUGGCAGCGAAUCACAGCGUCGCUCCCUGCAAACCGAGGACCGCUGGACGCCGAAGAGGAAGAGGACUGACCACGCCCACAGAGUUUCUGUACUUUUCUUAAAAUGUCAAAUUCACAGAGCCGCUCGCUGUGAGCGUGUGAGUCAGAUUACUGCAUUUAUAUAAACCGUGUUCAUUGUGCA